UACGGAGGGAGCUAGCGUUGUUCGGAAUUACUGGGCGCAAAGCGCGCGUAGGCGGCUAUUCAAGUCAGAGGUGAAAGCCUGGAGCUCAACUUCAGAACUGCCUUUGAAACUAGAUAGCUAGAAUCUUGGAGAGGUCAGUGGAAUUCCGAGUGUAGAGGUGAAAUUCGUAGAUAUUCGGAAGAACACCAGUGGCGAAGGCGACUGACUGGACAAGUAUUGACGCUGAGGUGCGAAAGCGUGGGGAGCAAACAGG
rnacentral:rRNA from 1 species